GACGAACGCUGGCGGCGUGCCUAAUACAUGCAAGUAGAACGCUGAAGCUUGGUGCUUGCACCGAGCGGCUGAGUUGCGAACGGGUGAGUAACGCGUAGGUAACCUGCCUGGUAGCGGGGGAUAACUAUUGGAAACGAUAGCUAAUACCGCAUAAGAGUAGAUGUUGCAUGACAUUUGCCUAAAAGGUGCAAUUGCCUCACUACCAGAUGGACCUGCGUUGUAUUAGCUAGUUGGUGAGGUAACGGCUCACCAAGGCAACGAUACAUAGCCGACCUGAGAGGGUGAUCGGCCACACUGGGACUGAGACACGGCCCAGACUCCUACGGGAGGCAGCAGUAGGGAAUCUUCGGCAAUGGACGGAAGUCUGACCGAGCAACGCCGCGUGAGUGAAGAAGGUUUUCGGAUCGUAAAGCUCUGUUGUAAGAGAAGAACGAGUGUGAGAGUGGAAAGUUCACACUGUGACGGUAUCUUACCAGAAAGGGACGGCUAACUACGUG
rnacentral:rRNA from 1 species